ensembl:rRNA 5S_rRNA 5S ribosomal RNA
GCUUACGGCCAUACCAGCCCAAAAAACGCCCAGUCUCGUCUGAUCUCGGAAGCUAAGAAGGCUUGGGCCUGGUUAGUACUUGGAUGGGAGACCUCCUGGGAAUACCAGGUGCUGUAAGCU